CCUACGGGAGGCAGCAGUGAGGAAUAUUGGUCAAUGGGCGAGAGCCUGAACCAGCCAAGUCGCGUGAGGGAGUACUGCCCUAUGGGUUGUAAACCUCUUUUGUCGGGGAGCAAAAGCCGGACGUGUCCGGCUGUGAGAGUACCCGAAGAAAAAGCAUCGGCUAACUCCGUGCCAGCAGCCGCGGUAAUACGGAGGAUGCGAACGUUAUCCGGAUUUAUUGGGUUUAAAGGGUGCGCAGGCGGAUUUUUAAGUCAGCGGUAAAAUCGUGGGGCUCAACCCCAUCCAGCCGUUGAAACUGGGGAUCUAGAGUGUGCGAGAGGUAUGCGGAAUGCGUGGUGUAGCGGUGAAAUGCAUAGAUAUCACGCAGAACCCCGAUUGCGAAGGCAGCAUACCGGUGCACAACUGACGCUCAGGCACGAAAGCGUGGGUAUCGAACAGGAUUAGAUACCCGGGUAGUC
rnacentral:rRNA from 1 species